UAUCUUAAUGAUGUAUGCCUCAGAUAUUAUGACAAUAAAUCCUCUCUGUGUCUUAAGUUUGCAGGUCUUUCCCCAAAUUAUGUGUUUUCAUAUUUUGUUUGGCAUAUUCAGAUAGGUAAGGUUUUAAUUAUCUUUAUAUUAGUCCAUUUUCUUGUGGAUUUUAAAAUAUUGCUCUAAUGCUUGGAAGGUUCUCCUCCAUCUUCAGAUGACAUAAACAUACACCUAUUUGGCCUUUUGAAAAUAUUUAACUCUUUAAUCUAGCUACAAUUUACUUUGCAAUAUAAUAUAAAGAUCUAACAUUUUCCCCCAGUAGUUAAUCAACUGUCCUAGUACUAUUUAUCAAAUAGUUUAUUCUUUAUCUAUUGGUUUAUAGCUAUCUAUAUCAUAUACAUGAUUUUAUUUGUAGGCUCUCUUUUCCAUUUCACUAAUGUGUUUGUCUAUACCUGAGUCAACACUGUGUCAUUUUAAUUAUUGUAACUUUGAAGAACUUUUCAAUAUCUGGGUAUGGCUUGUCUCCUUCAAUAUAAUUUUGUCAAAACCUUCUUGACUGUUUUUACCUAUUGUUUUCUCACCUAUUUUUUUAAAACUAAAUUAACUUUGGUGGGAUAUGGUUUGGAUGUGUCUCCAUCCAAAUCUCAUCUUGAAUUGUAGCUCCCCUAAUUCCCAUGUGUUGUGGGAAGGAUCCGUUAGGAGACAAUUUAAUCAUGGGGGCAGUUCCCCCAUAAUGUUGUUCUUGUGGUAGUGGGUAAGUCUCAUGAGAUCUGAUGGCUUUAGCAGGGGUUUCCCCUUUCACUUGGCUCUUAUUCCCUCUUGCCUGCCACCACGUAAGACGUGUCUUUCACCUUCCACCAUGAUUGUGAGGCCUCCCCAGCUACGUGGAACUAUGAGUUCAUUAAAACUUUUUUCCUUUAUAAAUUAUCCAGUCUCAGGUAUGUCUUUAAUUAGCAGCAUGAGAACAGACUAAUACACAGUGUAAUCAAUUAUUUGUCCAGAACGUAUCACAUGCAUUCAUUUCAUGUUUGUACCAGGAGUUUGUGGUCUCAGCAGAGUCGGUAGUUUUCUUCAUGUUGGUCUUCAUGUAAUACUUGUAUGUUCCUGUAGGUCAGAGGUUAAGUUGGCUUGCUUGGUUUUCUGCUCUGGUUUCACAAUGUUGAAAUCAAGGUGUCAUCAGGGUUGCAGUGUUUUCUAUCUCUUAACAAUCCUUAAUUCUUAGGUCCUGUAUAGUUUCAUUUGUUCUCCUUGUGGAUCUUAUGUUUAUUUGAGGGAUGUGAGGAGGAGAUUUGGAAUC
rnacentral:lncRNA from 1 species